rnacentral:rRNA from 1 species
GACGAACGCUGGCGGCGGGCCUUACACAUGCAAGUCGAAGGAGAAGGUAGAAGCUUGCUUUUACUGGAGACUGGCGGACGGGUGAGUAACGCGUAGAUAACCUGCCUAUAGCUGGGGGAUAACACUGCGAAAGUGGUGCUAAUACCGCAUAAUGCAGCGGGGCCGCAUGGCCAUAGUUGUUAAAGGUUUCGGCCGGCUAUAGAUGGGUCUGCGUGCUAUUAGUUAGUUGGUAGGGUAACGGCCUACCAAGGCGAUGAUAGCUAGGGGGUCUGAGAGGAUGAUCCCCCACACUGGGACUGAGACACGGCCCAGACUCCUACGGGAGGCAGCAGUGAGGAAUCUUGCGCAAUGGGCGAAAGCCUGACGCAGCCACGCCGCGUGCCGGAUGAAGGCCCUAUGGGUUGUAAACGGCUUUUACUAGGGAAGAACGAGGAGGUUUUGAUCUUCUGUGACGGUACCUAGUGAAUAAGCACCGGCUAACUCCGUG